rnacentral:tRNA from 1 species
UGGGGCGUAGCCAAGCGGUAAGGCAACUCGUUUUGAUCCCGUCAUUCCCAAGUUCGAUCACUGGCGUCCCAG